rnacentral:lncRNA from 1 species
UGCUCGCUAGGAUGUCGCAUCCUAUGCAUACAUAUCUUCUCUGACCGGGGAAGAAUCAGAGCACUCGUAGCUCGGCUAACGCACGCCAAACAAAACCACACAGGAAAUUGACUGCCAAUCGCUGGACUUACGUCAGACUCCACACAAACAGGCAAACAUGGAAACCGAAUGCCAAUCGCUGGACUUACAUCAGACUCCGAACCAAC